UAAUACGGGGGGUGCGAGCGUUAUUCGGAAUUACUGGGCGUAAAGAGCGCGUAGGCGGUCUUUUAAGUCAGGUGUGAAAGCCCGGGGCUCAACCCCGGAAGUGCACUUGAAACUAAGAGACUUGAGUAUGGGAGAGGGAAGUGGAAUUCCUGGUGUAGCGGUGAAAUGCGUAGAUAUCAGGAGGAACAUCAGUGGCGAAGGCGACUUCCUGGACCAAUACUGACGCUGAGGCGCGAAGGCGUGGGGAGCAAACAGGAUUAGAUACCCUGGUAGUCCACGCAGUAAACGGUGAACACUAGGUGUAGCGGGUAUUGACCCCUGCUGUGCCGCAGCAAACGCAUUAAGUGUUCCGCCUGGGGAGUACGGCCGCAAGGUUA
rnacentral:rRNA from 1 species